AACGAACGCUGGCGGCAUGCCUAACACAUGCAAGUCGAACGAGACCUUCGGGUCUAGUGGCGCACGGGUGCGUAACGCGUGGGAACCUGCCCUUAGGUUCGGAAUAACUCCCCGAAAGGGGUGCUAAUACCGGAUAAUGUCUUCGGACCAAAGAUUUAUCGCCUUUGGAUGGGCCCGCGUUGGAUUAGCUAGUUGGUAGGGUAAAAGCCUACCAAGGCGACGAUCCAUAGCUGGUCUGAGAGGAUGAUCAGCCACACUGGGACUGAGACACGGCCCAGACUCCUACGGGAGGCAGCAGUGGGGAAUAUUGGACAAUGGGCGAAAGCCUGAUCCAGCAAUGCCGCGUGAGUGAUGAAGGCCUUAGGGUUGUAAAGCUCUUUUACCCGGGUUGAUAAUGACAGUACCGGGAGAAUAAGCUCCGACUAACUCCGUG
rnacentral:rRNA from 1 species